CCUACGGGAGGCAGCAGUGGGGAAUAUUGGGCAAUGGGCGCAAGCCUGACCCAGCAACGCCGCGUGAAGGAAGAAGGCUUUCGGGUUGUAAACCUCUUUUCUCAGGGACGAAGAAAGUGACGGUACCUGAGGAAUAAGCCACGGCUAACUACGUGCCAGCAGCCGCGGUAAUACGUAGGUGGCAAGCGUUAUCCGGAUUUAUUGGGUGUAAAGGGCGUGUAGGCGGGAGCGCAAGUCAGAUGUGAAAACUCGGGGCUCAACCCUGAGCCUGCAUUUGAAACUGUGUUUCUUGAGUGCUGGAGAGGCGAGCGGAAUUCCGGGUGUAGCGGUGAAAUGCGUAGAUAUAAGGAGGAACACCGGUGGCGAAGGCGGAUUGCUGGACUGUAACUGACGCUGAGGCGCGAAAGCGUGGGGAGCAAACAGGAUUAGAUACCCUAGUAGUC
rnacentral:rRNA from 1 species